GACAAACGCUGGCGGCACACAUAAGACAUGCAAGUCGAACGGAAAUAUAUUUUUGUUUACAAAGAUAUAUUUUAGUGGCGGAAGGGUGAGUAACGCGUGGGUAACCUGCCUUCAAGAGGGGAAUAGCACAGAGAAAUCUGUGCUAAUACCGCAUAACAUAGAACUGCAGCAUGGCAGAGGCACCAAAGGAGUAAUCCGCUUGAAGAUGGACCCGCGUCUGAUUAGCUAGUUGGAGUGGUAAUGGCACACCAAGACGACGAGCAGUAGCCGAACUGAGAGGUUGAUCGGCCACAUUGUGACUGAGACACGGCCCAGACUCCUACGGGAGGCAGUAGUCGGGAAUAUUGCACAAUGGGGGAAACCCUGAUGCAGUGAUGCCGCGUAUAGGAAAAAUGUUUUCGGAUUGUAAACUAUUGUCGACAGGGAAGAUGAAAAGACGGUACCUGUGGAGGAAGCCCCGGCUAACUACUUGCCAGCCGCCGCCGUAAAAC
rnacentral:rRNA from 1 species